rnacentral:rRNA from 1 species
GAGAAGAAAGAAGGGGUGGCGUGUCAGCGGCCGAAGGUCACGGAAGGAAAGAGGGUAGAGGAAGAGGUCAGCGGCGGAAGGUAGGGGAGGAUCGAGGAAGAGGGCCGAGGCUCAGGUGUGGCACCGUUCGUGGCUCCCGCGCUGCAGGUCCGGCUGGGUGUGGCACGCCACCACACGCGAACCUAAAGCCCCCCGGCGUAGCUGAGCAGGGGCCCCUCGACGCAGCAGCACCCGCAACUGUGUCUUGUGCUUCCCUUCGCUGCUUAGCUGACGGGCUCGCUGCCGCCCGCCGUCCUAGACCGCGAUCACGCUACCGAGCAGCUCGGCGCCGUCUCCUUUGACAGGGACCACCUCAGUCGUCGUUGAGUCGGUGCCAAGUCCGGCGGGGUAGAGACAGGCUACGCGACUUGGUGGCUCCUUCGGCGUAGCUGAUUCGUGUCCGCGGACCGCCUCCGCUGAGACGACACGACCCUGCGACGUCAGGGAAGUUACGGCACACAGGCGCAGGCAGCAUCUGCCGCAGGAGUGGGGACCGAAGAGGGAGCUGGAGCGCCCGACAGUCACCGAACGGGGUGGUAGAGCUCAAGCGACACAAAAUAAAGACUUAAAAACUCUGUCAUAAACCAACAGGUGCGCGUCCGUUGCUGAUAAGGUACAAGAGCAGCGACCUCUAGCUGAUGUGUCCUCGUACCCAUCUCCGCUAUACCACCACAUGGGCGUUUUUUCUCUCCGUUAUACCACCACCUAUACCACAGUGGCGACAAAGCGACUUCUUAUAGAACCUGUACAACAUCUAACUUAUACACCCUAUACGAUGUUAUAAUAUCUCUAAAUAGACAUUUAACAACAACAGAAAGAAGGUAAACAUACUUCACAACAAAACGUCAUACAAAUAGUAAAUAAAUUACUGUAUGACAUCGUAUAUAAAACCUUUUUUU